AUAAACUCUAGGAUGGUUGCGAUGAGAAGCAAAUGUUAGUCAGUGAGAAACUAGAUGACAGAUGAACAUUUUCCAGAGGCAAGAUACAGUGAAUACGGAUACACAUAUAAAAGUACACUCAAGGAAUCCUGUCUCCACACUUUAACAAAAAAAAAGACAUGGCCGGUGGAGAAACGCGCAUAAUAUUUGGUUUACUGGGAUUCUCUAUAAUCCUGCUUGUCUAUUUAAACAUCAGAAGUGAACCACUGACGCUUAACAAACGUGCAGGCUUAAAUGGAACAGCAGCACCAACAACAACAGCACCAACAACAACAACAACAGCACCAACAACAACAACAACAGCACCAACAACAACAACAACAGCACCAACAACAACAGCACCAACAACAACAUCAACAGCACCAACAACAACAACACCACCACCACCAACAACAACAACAACAACAACAACAACACCAACAACAACAACAACAACAACACCAACAACAACAACAACAACAACACCAACAACAACAACAACACCAACAACAACAACAACACCAACAACAACAACAACAAUACCACCAACAACAACAACAACACCACCAACAACAACAACAACAACAACACCAACAACAACAACACCAACAACACCAACAACAACAACAACAACAACACCAACAACAACACCAACAACAACAACACCACCAACAACAACACCAACAACAACAACAACAACAACACCAACAACAACAACAACAACACAAUCAGCUACAAACCAUACAGUUAGUAAAUCAUCAUUUAAAAGGCCAAUGUCAUUGUCAAUGACAAUAGCCCAAGUUUUUGAUACCAGCCUUGCCGCUGAUACUGAAGAGAGGAGAACUCUUUUAAAUAAAAUUCAACCAAUGAUUGACCAAUGUUACAAAACUGUACCUGACUACAUUCCUGGGUCUGCAAAAGUCAAUAAUUUCAGGUCUGUUAGCAUUAUAGUAGACUACACAAUUAAUGCAACAUCUAGCAGCCCCGAUUUUACAUCUGCAAACAUACUGCUUGCCAACAGUCUAAAGCAGACAGGACUCCCUGUGGAUCCCAAUUCUUUCGCUGAAAGUGUGCCAGCACUCCUCUUCAACACCACAAAUAAAAUAUAUCCAAUGCAAAGGCUGGAACUGAGAUGUACACGCCCAGCGUCUGUUGCGGGAGCAAUAACAUGGACCGUGAAUAAGAUUAAUCCUGCACUAGAUCCGAGAUACUCAAUUAUUGAAAGUGACACAGGUAGCACUCUCACUGUGAAGAAUGCAAGUGAAAUUGACAGUGGUAGAUACUCAUGUAUCAUAAAUAGGAGCCCUAUGCCUUAUAUUCAGUGGCAAGAAAUUGUUAUUGAACAACGUCCCAAAAUUGAAGUUGACGCUGAUCGAGUAUUUGAGUGCAAGGAUCAGAUUGUCCAAAUUAAAUGUUGUGCUGCGCUCUACAGUAUUAAGUGGGACCUGAUUCCUGAUGGUGAUCAACUGGAAAAUUCAGAAACUAACUGCAUCAUAUUACAACAUAAACUUCUGAAAAUAAAUUGUGGGAGUGUGGAAACCUUUACAUGUCAACUCAAAGACCUGAAAGAGCUACAAGGUUACAGUUACAGCAGGAAAAGCGUCACCAUUAAAACAAGUGACAAAAAAUUUGACUGUACAAGUGAAACACUUGGAAUUGGACAAAAAGAUGAUAAAGUAAAUGGACUGUGUGAAAAUGGCAGGAUAGGCUUCAUAACUUAUCAAUGUCAAUUAGAUGGCUGGAGUAAGAAACAGAUUGAAUGUGUACUUCCUAUUCUUGCAUCCCUUCAAAGUGAAGUUCAGGUCUUGACUGAGGAAAAAAUUCCAGGGUUUCUGGAAAGCCUCAGCAAUGCCACUGUGAAGAACAGCAUCGAGAUAUCACAGUCUGCCUCGGAUGUCAAAGCAAUUGUUGAUAUGCUCCAUCAAUUAACAAUCAUCUCAACAAACAUGACCAUUGAUAAGACUGUGAUGAAUACAUAUCUUAAAACAGUGGAUGUUAUUGUAUCAAAUCAAACUAAUAACACAUGGGCAGAAUUAAACAAUGGCAACACACCAUCAAAUACCAGCACUGCACUUUUGUUUGCCAUUGAGGUAACAAGCAAUCGUCUGUCAGAUGUGAAUUUUACUUUAAAUGAAUCCUCCAUUCAGCUGGAAAAAACCUUAAUUCACAACUCAUUCAAUUUAACUUCACAACAGCCAAACUCAACUACCCAGAUCAUGUUUUCAGACGUUCUUGAACCGACCUUCGUAACUCUUAUUGUCUUCUCAAAUCUUGACAAUGUUCUACCAACUCGUAAUGACACCGGUACAUUCGAAAACCGGAUCAAUGGAGAUGUGGUUGUGAUAAAGGUUAACCAAACAGUUAAUAAUGUUUCUCUUACUUUUGACAUUACAAAUGAGCUACUGGGAAAUCCUCAGUGUGUCUUUUGGAACUUUGAUCUGGACCGAUGGGAUUCUGAUGGAUGUAAUGUCAAGCACUCAGAGAAUGGCAAAGUUACAUGUGAAUGCAACCACACAACCUCUUUUUCAAUCCUCAUGUCACCGUUUUUUAUGGAUGUUAAAGCAUUGUCCUAUAUCACAUACAUUGGUGUAGCUAUUUCAAUGGCCAGCUUGGUUUUAUGUCUCAUUAUUGAGAUAAUCGUAUGGAAGUCAGUGACAGGAAAUGACACAGCGUACAUGCGUCACGUCUUUGUAGUUAACAUCGCUGUGUCGCUGCUGAUCGCAAACAUCUGCUUUAUCAUUGGAGCUGCAAUUGCUAAACCAGGAGGAUCUACACCGGUGAAUCCCUGCAGUGCAGUAGUUUUCUUCAUUCACUUUUUUUACCUGGCUCUUUUCUUCUGGAUGUUAACUUCAGCCCUUUACCUCCUUUACCGCACUGCCAUGGUCUUUUCUCAGAUGUCAAGGACUAAAAUGAUGGUCAUUGCCUUCAUGCUUGGUUAUUGUGCACCUUUGCUCAUAGCGGUUAUUACUGUCGCAUCCACAGCUGGAGCUGGUAGAUAUAUUUGGAUGAGAGAUGCAUGUUGGCUGAACUGGUAUGAAUCUAAGGCCCUGUUGGCAUUUGUGAUUCCAGCUCUGACCAUUGUUGCCUUUAACCUCCUGGUAUUGAUUGUGGUUUUGAUUGUGGUUUUAUAUAAAAUAGUUAGGAGAAAUGUCAAUGCUUCAACUCAAACAGAUGAGAAACACGCCCUUGUUGUCAUUGUCCGAUGUGUGGCCUUUCUGACUCCUAUUUUUGGCCUAACAUGGGGAUUUGGAGUGGUAACCAUGGUGUCAGAUGUAUCUGGCCUUCAUGUGGUGUUUGUCAUCCUCAAUUCAUUUCAGGGUUUCUUUGUUUUAGUGUUUGGAACACUUCUGGACAGCAAGGUCCAACAGUCACUGGCAGGAAAGUUGAAGCUAAACCUUAGUUCUGACCCACCAAGAGCACUACUUCUACAGGACCAUCGUCUACAGUCAAACUAGGUUGCUUUGGAUGGAUGCGGCGUAAACAUGUUUACCACGUAUCUGAUCCCAACCAUUUCUCAAGACCACCAUUAUACAAGACAGGAGUCUCAUCAAGUUAAUAAACUAUAUCCUACUGGAUGUUCUGUUACUGAGUUUGGCUUACAAAAGUUUCAGGAAUAAUUGCUUUAACUCUUUCCCUGCCAUUGACGAGUUAGCUCGUCAAUUAAGAGAAAACAUUUGCAUGAAAAAGGUGUUCCUAAUGAGGUUUCAUGGUUAUCUGUAACACUGCGUUUAUCCACUAGAUUACCCAAUUUAUAAAAAAACUGAAGCAAAAAAUGAUUUAUUAAUUUUAUACUCUGUGUAUGUUUUGAUAAUCGUUCUGAAUCUGAUCUCCAACAAAUUCCUUCACAAAAAUGCAAUUACUUCAGCUUUUUGCUAAAAAAAAUAUUUUUGAAGAAAAAUAUCCAUAUUUAAGAGUUUAUAAGCAGAGAAAAAAUAUACAUAGGAUGAAACGGUUUUUCCAGUUUUUUUUUUUUUUUUUUUUUUUUAAAGCAAAGGGUUUGUUCAUUCAUUUGAAAUAGUUGUAUGUCUAUAUAUUUUUAGAAGAAAAUUUUCCUGAAAGGCAUUUUGUGAAACUUUUGUGAAAAUAAAAAAAAAUGCUUGGUGGGCAACUUUUUAAAAAAGGCUGGCGGGGAAUGAGUUUAAAAUAGGGUUACAAUGUAAUAUAUUGUGUGAAAGAAAAUUGAAAAUUGGUGGUAUGUUUUACUGCAUCUGUUAUACUUGAACACUGAAAAAAAGUUGUGGGUCUUUGAAAUUACGAAAAAUAAAUAUGUAUAUGCAACACAAAACAUUUAUAUUCCUUGUGUGAAUAUGAUUUAUUUAAUUAUGGUUUAAUUUUUUUUUUUUUUUGAAUGCUGAAUGUAGACUUUUUUCUCACGUUGAUUUAAACUGAUUGAUUUACAAACUUAAAUCAAUGCAAUUGAGUUUGCAUGCACAGCAGUGCACUCCUGAGCAGAAGGUGGCAGUAAAGCAUAAAAGAGAAGGACACUUAUUGGGCGGGAAGCAAAUUUGCGCCAAAAAUACCUCAAGGUUCAGUCAGUGGCAAGUCAUCUCUCAGGCGGACACCGGCUUGCUUAAACGUUGCCUGUAAAUUAAUACUGACAGUGGGACAUUGGCAGGUGCAUCAGCUUUGCAUGAGAUCUGUUCAAAAGCAUUAUAUUGGGCAUGGAUGAAGUCAGCAUCAAUGAGGCAAUUCAAGACACCACUGUUGGAGUUUAUGUUCUUAAACAGCAUGCUGCUUGUGAUGAAUCCGAGAUGUUGGCAUUAUACUGGAAGGCAUCAAGGUGUUGCAGUACCUUGAUAAUGUACCAUUAGCUGUUGCCAUGCUGUUCGGAUUGAUGUACUCCCUAAACUUGAGCUAUCCUGUUGAUCUCCGCUAUACCUUUGAAGUAAUACAAAAGAUUUUGAUGGAACUGGAUGGAGAUAAACUUUAAAAUAAAGUUCUUCAUCUAAAGAACAGGCUCUUUCAGUAAAAGGGUCCAAAAGGCUGUGUUGCUACUGGAAAAACCAAAUGACCUC